rnacentral:rRNA from 1 species
AACGAACGCUGGCGGCAGGCUUAACACAUGCAAGUCGAGCGCCCCGCAAGGGGAGCGGCAGACGGGUGAGUAACGCGUGGGAAUCUACCCAUCUCUACGGAAUAACGCAUGGAAACGUGUGCUAAUACCGUAUACGUCCUUCGGGAGAAAGAUUUAUCGGAGAUGGAUGAGCCCGCGUUGGAUUAGCUAGUUGGUGGGGUAAAGGCCUACCAAGGCGACGAUCCAUAGCUGGUCUGAGAGGAUGAUCAGCCACACUGGGACUGAGACACGGCCCAGCCUCCUACGGGAGGCAGCAGUGGGGAAUAUUGGACAAUGGGCGCAAGCCUGAUCCAGCCAUGCCGCGUGAGUGAUGAAGGCCCUAGGGUUGUAAAGCUCUUUCACCGGUGAAGAUAAUGACGGUAACCGGCGAAGAAGCCCCGGCUAACUUCGUGCCAGCCGCCGCCGUAAUAC